UGGGGAAUAUUGGACAAUGGAGGCAACUCUGAUCCAGCAAUUCUGUGUGUGUGAAGAAGGUUUUAGGACUGUAAAACACUUUUAGUAGGGAAGAAAGAAAUGACGGUACCUACAGAAGAAGCGACGGCUAAAUACGUGCCAGCAGCCGCGGUAAUACGUAUGUCGCGAGCGUUAUCCGGAAUUAUUGGGCUUAAAGGGUAUCUAGGCGGUUAAACAAGUUGAAGGUGAAAACCUGUGGCUCAACCAUAGGCUUGCCUACAAAACUGUAUAACUAGAGUACUGGAAAGGUGGGUGGAACUACACGAGUAGAGGUGAAAUUCGUAGAUAUGUGUAGGAAUGCCGAUGAUGAAGAUAACUCACUGGACAGCAACUGACGCUGAAGUGCGAAAGCUAGGGGAGCAAACAGG
rnacentral:rRNA from 1 species